UGAUGUAAAGGUGAUCCAGCUUCUAAAUCACCCCACCUAUCCCUAGAGCUGGUUUGACUGAUACGGCUUGCUAAGCAGGGGUCUCCUUUUCCUUCUCGCUACUCUAUUUGCUUCCCUCCCAAAGUUGUGUGAUUCGGUUGAAAAAAAGGACCUUCCCUGGGAAUGAGGACCGUUCUGUCACUGGUACAUAAGUAGCUGUACUCCCCUGGAAAAACCUCCUGUCUCCCAACGUUAACUUCAGAUGGCCCCAUAACCAGGAAGCAUAACAAGCAACACAUUUUCACUCUCGUCCCAGCUACAGAUUUGA
rnacentral:snRNA from 1 species